AUGUCAUCCGGAUCAACUACUAGAACAUAUAUAGAUAAGACAGAUAGCAUCAGUGAACCUCCUUCAUCCAAGUCAAAUUACAAGAGGACUAAUCUCAGCUUCUCACACCGGAACAAGCAAAUCAACCACGCCACUAUCAACACUGCCUUACGCCUCCUCCUCCUCCUCCUCCUCCUCCUCGAGGGAGUAGUCCUUGUACUCCAACCAAGGCCUGCGAGCCCUGUUCACCCGGAUACACUCUUCGAACCGUGCGGCCAACUUGUCGAUGUACGUCUGCGGAUCAUCAUCCGAGUCGGAGUGGUACUCAAUGUACACCACCUCCUCCGUCGUCUCAUCGUCGCCCUUCAGUAG
rnacentral:rRNA from 1 species